AACGAACGCUGGCGGCAGGCUUAACACAUGCAAGUCGAACGCAUCCUUCGGGGUGAGAGGCAGACGGGUGAGUAACGCGUGGGAACGUGCCCUUCAGUUCGGGAUAACCCAGGGAAACUUGGACUAAUACCGGAUACGUGCGAGAGCAGAAAGAUUUAUCGCUGAAGGAUCGGCCCGCGUCUGAUUAGCUAGUUGGGGGGGUAAUGGCCCACCAAGGCGACGAUCAGUAGCUGGUCUGAGAGGAUGAUCAGCCACAUUGGGACUGAGACACGGCCCAAACUCCUACGGGAGGCAGCAGUGGGGAAUAUUGGACAAUGGGCGCAAGCCUGAUCCAGCCAUGCCGCGUGAGUGAUGAAGGCCUUAGGGUUGUAAAGCUCUUUCGUCCGGGACGAUAAUGACGGUACCGGAAGAAGUAGCCCCGGCUAACUUCGUGCCAGCCGCCGCAGUAA
rnacentral:rRNA from 1 species